CCUACGGGAGGCAGCAGUGGGGAAUAUUGGACAAUGGGGGCAACCCUGAUCCAGCCAUGCCGCGUGUGUGAAGAAGGCCCUCGGGUUGUAAAGCACUUUCAGUGAGGAAGAACGCCUGGUGGUUAAUACCCAUCAGGAAAGACAUCACUCACAGAAGAAGCACCGGCUAACUCCGUGCCAGCAGCCGCGGUAAUACGGAGGGUGCGAGCGUUAAUCGGAAUUACUGGGCGUAAAGCGCGCGUAGGUGGCUUGAUAAGCCGGUUGUGAAAGCCCCGGGCUCAACCUGGGAACGGCAUCCGGAACUGUCAAGCUAGAGUGCAGGAGAGGAAGGUAGAAUUCCCGGUGUAGCGGUGAAAUGCGUAGAGAUCGGGAGGAAUACCAGUGGCGAAGGCGGCCUUCUGGACUGACACUGACACUGAGGUGCGAAAGCGUGGGUAGCAAUCAGGAUUAGAUACCCCGGUAGUC
rnacentral:rRNA from 1 species